CGGAAGAGAUAAGUGCUGAAAGCAUCUAAGCACGAAACUUGCCCCGAGAUGAGUUCUCCCUGACCCUUUAAGGGUCCUGAAGGAACGUUGAAGACGACGACGUUGAUAGGCCGGGGGUGUAAGCGCAGCGAUGCGUUGAGCUAACCGGUACUAAUGAACCGUGAGGCUUAACCUUACAACGCCGAAGGUGUUU
rnacentral:rRNA from 1 species